rnacentral:piRNA from 1 species
UGGCCACCAUGACUUUUCGUUUAGCUGC